UGCCUCCUCGCGGACCAGCCUCACGGUGCGAAGCGGCAGACGGUCGCGGCUCCGCCCCAGCCUGGACCCGCAGCCUGCAGCCCAAGGUCACCAGCGGGGUCUCCUUUCCCACGCGGGGAGCAGCCGUCCUGUCCGCCGCCUCCUCCCUCGGCACCGCGUCCCUGAGCCAGCAUUCCGUCCGAGUGUUGUUGCACCUUCCUUCCUGGACUUGCCUGGGUCACGCACUCAUGCCCGAACAGGCACGGCGGCCUGAGGGAGACAGCGUGCUGUUAACUCAGGCCACGUAACGGGUUGCUUCCCAGCCACGGAUGGAGUCAACUUCGACUUACGUGGGCUGCAGGAGCUAAUCUCCAGGGACACACUUGGACCCUCGCCAGCCCAGGGAUCGCACCUCGGGAUCUACAGAACAUGGCUCACGGACUUGUCUUCAUCUUCCCUAGCUCCCCCGGUUGCUGAGGCAGUGGAUUUCAAAGACCCUGUGAUGCCUCGUGGGAGAUUCCAGACUUCAGCAUCAGAAAUGUAUUUGAACCCACCAGUCUCAGUAGUGUAUUUGUCACAAACGGGGCUAAACCGACCAGCACGGCCAAGUUACAUCUGGGUAAUGAGCCAAGAGUCUGCUCUUCCCACUGAAAGUGGGAUUUAACUUGGCAUUUCAUCAGAAAGAGGAGAAGAUGCAUGUGUUUUCACAUCUUCUCAUUUCCGACCGUCUGAGCAUCAGUCAGCACCCCAAGUUAUCAAGUCAGAAUGCAGUGGAACUGUUCUGUGAGGUGUGGAGCCACAUUCCUGAUUCGGGUUCCUUGGAGCCCUGAGCAGACGGAUCUCCCGUGGACCCGCCGGAACACGGAGCUGAGAGCCUGCUCCGUGUCAGUGAGGCCACUGUGGCUUUCAGGGCAUUUGACAUCGAGCACGUGUUUUCGGGGACCCAGAAGAAGAGCCUUCAGGGCUCUUUGAGGAAGGACUUGCAAGAGAAGAAUCCUCCACCCCAAGGGAACACAGCAUCGUGUCUUGCCUGGUGCCCGCACAGCCCCCUGACUAGUCUAGUGGCUUCCACAGAUGUUCCCUCGCCCCCUCUGCACUCCUGGGGCAGACUGAAUGAGCUUUUAAAGAAACACAUCUCAUCCUUUGCCCCUUCUGCUGGGGACCUGCCCUGCUCCCCUCACACCUGAUUGUUGAAGCACGUGUGGAAGACUCACCAGGCCCUUGUCGGCGCAUCGGCAGACUGGAAACCCUGCUCGCCUUUUCCACGUGGACCAGUGUCCUCACGCCGGGGCCUGGCCAGGGGCUCGCUCCCCAUGUCUGAGGGCGCCGAGUCCCCGCUGCGGCCGCUGGCUCAGGGCCCAGCUGGGGUCCGACGGAGGGGGCGGCAGAGCGGGGCUGCAGGGCAGGAGUGCUUCCUGGUGGCGAUGGUGAGGCGGCCUCCUGAGGACGCUGGUGAUGGGGCAGCGUCUCCCCUCCACUCUCCUCUCGUGCCUUCAUCGGUAAGGAUGUUUGAACACGAGUGACCCUGACUAACCCUGGCUGCUUGAUGCAGAAGAGGAAACAGCUCGGGUGACCUGGAAGGGCAGUGGGGGCAGGGCUGACCGAAUACCAUCAGAACAUCCCCUCCCAGCUCUGGUGGCAGCUUCACUGCAGCCAGAUAGAGGGUGCACAGCCGGCUGGGUCCCUGGUGACAGGAGUCCCCUCCAGGGGGCUGGUGCCCUUGGUGAGAAUCAGGGUGCAAUGAGCCAGGAGGUGGGUCUGGAGAUGCGGGUGCAAGUUCUUCUGAGCUCUGGGCCAGGCGGGUGGGCGGGGCGUGGGCACAGGGCGGGGGGGCAGGUGAGUGAGGCCCAGGUGACGUACUUGUGACCCCCUUCAGCGGGGCGCUAGUAGGUCAACGUGAGGCAGAGGGAUGGACAGAAAUGUGAGUCAGCGGGUGAGGGGCAUGGAGGUCACCGGUUAGGACCCUCCUGGGCAGCUCCGCGGGGCAGAAGCCAGGCCCCUUAAAGCCUACUUUCCACUCUGAGUGGAACUGAUCGCCAUUAGCAGAAAAUAAAAUGGAAACGUUUGGCUUGUUAUUCGUGACAGCCCCAGAGCCAGGCUCUAAAUUAGAUCAGCCUCUCGCAGUGUUUUAAACCUGUGCCGGCUCUCACAGAAUAGAAAAUAUUAUCUCCUUGGGAGGUGCCGCUGCGGGCCCCUCGGGGCCGUGUCUCUGGUUGAGGAGCUGGGUAUCCGCAAAUGUUCCAUCCGAGGACGUGUUAGGGAAGUCCGCUUUGCAGUUUGUGUUAUUAAAACAAUAUUUUUCCCAGCGGAAGACUGUUUGAGAGAGACACAGAGAGAGAGAGAGACAGAGAUUACUUAUAUCGAUCAUAAACUCUUUUGGUCAGAUCUAGGCUAUAAAGCAGUUUAAUAAAUUAGCAAGGAAGGUUUUUUUCUGGCUGUGGAAAAUGUGUGUCUCCUGAGAAAUGCUGUUGGAAACAAGCGGUUAGGAUGGUUAGUGCUCACCCUGUACCGUUACAGAGGAUGUGGCCGCAAAGCCCGCUGCCCCGGCCCUGCAGCCGAUGACUCAGGAGUGGGAGUGGGGAGGACACAGCGUGUAGCCUCGGCAUCCAAGUGAAGAGUGGGCUUCCGUUCUGGGCACUGAUUUGACAUGUGACCCCAGUGGAUCCCCCCUUUCCAGCCCCCCUCGCAGCCCCCUCUCCUCCCACCUCCCAGAGCACGGGGCCUCUAGCCUCCAGCCAGGACCCCCAGGUGGAGUCCCCACAGCGGCGAGGGGACGGCUCCUGUGAGAACAUCCCGUGGGGCAGGGGCGGCGGGGGCUCUGCUGAACUUCACUCGUGCCCCUGGGCCCUGCUGCUCAGCCUCGGCAGAGAGGGGCUGUGAGGCCCUGCCUGAGCACCAGGCUAGCGUGACUCUGCGGGCCGCGCUCAGGCCUGGGUGCUCGGCGCAGGGGGAAUGGGGAGUGGGCGUCCCCAUCGCUGUCCUUGCGGCCAGACCUGCCCACGUGCUCUCCUGGGGCAGCCGCCUUUCUCCCGGGCAGUAUCUGGACGGGGGUCCUGUGGGCCGACAGCCUGAUACGUGGUGUUAAGUUCUGUGAGGGCCUGACGUUUUACUUCUGGUUCCCUUCCCUCUUAGUCUCCCCUGGCAGCAGCGGCAUUUGAGGGUACGAGGGUGAGAAGUAUGUGAUUUUGUGCUUGUUCAGAACCAACAGCCAGCCCGAUGGGAACUCACUUUGCUCGCCACCGGACCCAAGGAGAGCAGUCCAGGGCUGGUGUGGCCACCGAGGUGCCCUGAGCAUCUGCCACGGCGUGUGGCCUGGGCAUCCCAUGCUCCUCUGUGCUACAAUAGGGCUGCUCCACCUCUCCCAUCACAGCUGCGUUCCUGGCAAGACAACAGUGAGGCCGAGUCCACCCCUUAAAGGAACCUGCCACCUAGGAUUCCCGCUCCUCUGCCCCCAUCGGGUUGGUGGGAACCAUGUAGGUGCCUGAGGCUGACUGUGUCUCCACCAGGCGGGGCCCCUUGCUGCACCCUGCAAGCCUCGGCUCAGAAGCCACCUCUCGGCCGACACAGGGAGGCCCCGCAGAGCCACUCUCAACUCCCGCAGGCCCUGAUGGUGCCUGAGCAAUGCGCGUGCCCCUUCCCUCCAGGCUCGGGUGCUCAGGUGCCGAACGGACAGAGCCCCGAGGACGCGCCAUGUCCCCUGUAGCCAGAGUAGGUGGUUUCCAGGAAUAGACUUGGAUUCCUACGGUUUCACCUCCAAAUUCUCGUGUGUGUGCAUGUGUGCGUGUGCAUGUGCAUGUGCGUGUGCGUGGAGGACGCUGUGUUUCCGUGUGUGCCCUCCAAAACAAACUCCCAGGACAACUGGGCUGGGAAGUGCCAUGUCUCUCCCUCCCUGUUUGAGAUUCAUAAACACAUUAGCUCAUAAAAUCUCUGAGCAACCCAGUGUCCUCUAGAAGAGGAGAAGAGAGAGGUUCCCCGUGGUCAGGCCAGAGCUCCCCAGGGUGCUAUUGAACUUGGGGCUCUUUAUACAGAAUGACUAAGAGCUCUGGGAAACGCUGAUCCAGAGCAAGUUUUUAAAUCUUCGUUAUUAGUAUGAGAGUUUCUUCCAAUUCCCCAUCCCCGAGCAGACCCUGACAUGGCAUUGAAAAAUACCAGGCAGGUUUGUCUUUGUCUUAAUACGAUCUCAAGUGGCAGAAAGAAACACAACUCAAAGCAGCUCUCGCAAAUAAUAGAAUUCACUGCCUCGUAUAACAAAAACGUGGAGGGUGACGGCUUCAGACGUGGCUCGAUCCAGGGGCUCCUGUGACAGUACCGCGGUUUUGUCUUCCCUUUCUGUCUCACAAAUCUGAUUCCCUUUUCGUGCCGUGGGUCUCCAUGUGGGAUCCGAGUCUCACAAAUACCUGCAUCUUCUAGAAAGCUCAGCGCUCUUCUUUCUCAGUCAUUUAGGUGGAAAAUCAAGAGUGUUGUGCUCCGCCCAGGGCUCCGUGUCCGCCUCUGGGUUUUCCAGGAUCUAAAGUUGAAGCAGUGGCCAGCCUUUCAAAGGCAAGGACCUACGUGGCUUCAUCCACGAUCUCACUACCACCAAAAACAUCUUGAGGAAAUCAUCACAAAAGGAAACAGGGGCAGUCCGAGUCAGACAUUAUUUGUCCCAAGGAGGAUGUGAAAACUCAGUAGAGAUUUAAGAUAAAGGCUUCACUGCAAAUCUUCACUGCACCACCAGAGCUCAGAGAGAAGCGUACACACGACAAAUGUCUGACACAAACGUGUUGACGUUCUUCUCUGCGGACGAUCGAAGGGUAACGAGUUACAACGGGGACGUGCGGUGCAAACGAGGCUCAGUGCGGCACCCCAUCUCCCCCUCCGGAACAAGCGUGAAGACGCGCUGAGGGUCCUUGUCACCCCACAGCCUGGUGUCCCAACUCGGCUGGCCCGAGCAUCCCCCUCUCAGGCUGGAAGGGAUCACUGGGCCCCAUGUGACCCUUUCCCACUUAACCUCCGAGUCCCGGGGCCGGUGUCAGUCGGCCUGUGUGUGGGUCACAGCCGCGCUGUCGGUGCGGCCAAUCGAGGGCCAUGCCUGGGCCCGCCCGCUCGCCCGUGAACUUCCCCUGGGUGUGAAGGGCCGUGUGUCACCUGCGCACGCCCUACCGUGUGACGGUGCUGUCGCCCGUGUCCCCUGAUCCCACGCUCCCUCCGUGCUACCUGGCGCGUACCUCGUGCGCGUGCUGCUAGCUCUGCCCGGGCUCCACCUGAGCGUUUACACCGUGACCGCCCGCCUGUCAGGUGCCCCCACUGGGGUGGGGGGUGGGAUGCUCGCACUGCAGUCUGUGACGGCCGUGUCCCCGCUCUCUCUGGGUCACCUGCAGUACCUGCACACGGCCCGCUGUGGUGUCGCUCGCCUGUGUAGCACCCCCACCUUCUCUGCACCGCCCACACCCGUGUCCGCGGCUCCGAGCGCCCUCAGGUCCACCUGCUCCCACGGUCCGGCUGCUCGUGCCGCCUGGACGUCACUCCAGCUGCUGACACGCUCAGUCCCGCGUGUCCCGUCUCCUCGGGAGUUCCAGGGCCCCAGGGGGACUGAGGAGGCCGCAGAGGCAGGGGAGGCCACGGACACCAGGGAGGCCGGAGACUGGGGAGGACAUAGACACAAGGGAGACCACGGAGACUGGGGAGGCCACGGAGGUUGGGGAGACCAGAGACCAGAGAGGCCAGGGAGUCCGCGGAGACCAGGGAGAACACGGGCAUUGCCCCUCGGUCCCCACAGCCCGGGCGCUGCUCACGUCCCCGAAGGUUGAGAACAAGCCCGACGGUGGAGGCUCAGGGCUGCGCUGGGAGGAGCACGACCCAGAUGCGGCUCCCGAUCGUCCCACCGCAGGCAGCAGGGAGGGUCCUCGAGCUGGAAGUGACAGUAGCCACCGCAGACCGGCCCUGCCCUGCACACUCAGGCACGGCUGGAUCCAGCCCUCCAGCGAUGGCAUCAGAACGUCCCUCUCAAAUCUUGGUCUUCGUCGGGUCUGGGUUCUGGAACCGAGGGGUCCAGGGAGUCCGUCACCUCACACCUCCGGGCCCUGCACGGUGACAAGACAGCGGCGGGCGGCGUGAGUCCUCAGCUCCUCCCGGAAGCCAGGCCUUCCCCUCAGCGAGCCGCAAAGCCCGACACUCACUGCGAUUGGAUGGGGUGGAGGCACGUGACUGGGCCUGAACCAAUCCCUGCAGCCAGUGGGACGGGCCAGAGCCUUUCCUGUUGGACCUGGGACCAACGCUGAUGCUCACUCUGAUUCGUCUGGGCAGGGACUUGUGACUGUCCCGGCCCCAAUCACCGUAGGCAGUGUGGGCCUUCCUUGACCAGACCUGGGUCCCCAAAUCCCCUGCGGCCAAGGUGUCCCUGGAUCGCGGGUCUGACCUCGGGGACCGUGUUUCCAGACGACACAUGGGUGGACCUAGAAGGAAAGGUGGAUGCUGGGACGCCGCCUGCAGUCUGAAGGCUCGGCUUCAGUGCAUCAGCGUGAAGAUCUGUGAAGAUCCCAGCCUUGUGUGACUGAGUUAAGUGUACCGCGAUCUGGAAGGACUGCACACGCUAAUGGAUUUGGAUUUGUAACCUGAUGCCUGGCUUUGGAAGCUGCUUCGUCAUCCACAGGCAUGGCUCCCUAACAGAGAGCCGCAGACUGAGGAUGUGGGUGCCGGCGUGAACCCGGACGCUGGUGUUCUCCACUCCACGUGAAGCCAGAGGUGCUGUCUAAUGAAGUGGAAAGUCUGGCAGAACUUCCAGAAGGAAGGCCUGAGACGGGGUGACAACAGCCCAGGGUCCUGUGUCCAGAUGAGGGGAGCACAGCAGAAGCCGACCUCCAGCUGGCACAGACCGGAAGGUGCCCCACCUGAUGCCAGGUGUGUGCACAGGUGCUGGGGUGGAUGUGAGGUCGGGACGGGACACAGAGGAGGAUGCGGUGAGCAGGCUGGGUCCCCCGUCCGCUGAAGCGAAGGACCGGCUGGGUCACCACAGACCCCCACCAGGAACCAGCCUCCGCUGUUGACGACACACUUUCUGAUGCCCACGCUGCCCUCUGCCUAGCAAACAGGGCAGAGGUUCCACAGCCAACCCCCGAGAAGUGGCGAGAAAGGACAGGGAUUGGGAAAACGUGUGACGUGCUCGAGUUACUUUGUUUUCUAAAAGGCUGUCCUCUUUGUGCCCUAGCUGGGAAAAUGACAACGUCUGAAGAUUUAUUUUGUUAAGAAAGCUAGUCUUUAUGUUCUGGGCUUUUCACACAUUUUGUAAAGGUUCCCAGGGACAGCUCGUUCUGUCUCUACGGGCAAGUCUGCUUCACACACCAGUAUUUAUUGUCUGGCCUGGGAACCUCCCCCCACUUUCUGGUCAUCACCGGCUGCACCUGCUCCGGUACUGACCCCAGAACGUCCUCUGUGGUCUGGGGCCGGCGACAGCGUCCUCUAACGUCCCACGGAGAAUUCUUGGAUGAUGCGGAGCCUGCGUCCGAGGGAUGGGCGAAUGCGGUGGGUACGGAUGCCCCUCAGCGUGGCCCUGCCCAGAUGUUCCCAGCGCCCCUGGGUGCAGGCAUCUCUCCAUCCUCUCUCCUUGCUGUCCCCUCAUCCCACAGGAGGGAGGGGGUGGGCUCCAGGCUGCCAGAGCCCCGCCCCACCCCUCCUUGCCCCAGCCUUCCUGGGGACAAACCAGCAGAUGCAUCACUAGCUCCCCUGGCUGACUCCAGAACGCUCCACUGUCCUGAGAGGUCGGGAUGCUGGCCUCCAGUAGCCCAGCUGCCAUCACCACCCAUGGCUCUUCUUCCUCCUCUGCCCUGUUUGCUUCAGCAGAGGGCAGAGUGGGCCUCAGAAAGUGUGCAUCAAUGGUGAAGAUGGGUACACACCGGUCUGGGCUGACUCAGCCCGUCGUAACUUUCUGUAGAUGGGGAGGCUACAGCUGAGGGGCCAGGCUCUGCCCGCCUCCCUGCAGAGCUGGGCUCCAGGCAGGAGCCUGGGGACACAACCUGCUGGCGACAUGCAGCAUGGCUUUUCCCUCACCCUCCUGCAGACCUCCCCCUGCAUUCAUCCGGAACCCAGCCCACAUUCUCGGUGUCUAACCGGAGACAGACCGACAGACAGACAGGGCCUCACCCUGGACCUCCUCAGCGUCCACCAUCAUCCAUCAUCAUCGUUGUCGGUGUAGGCCUGAGGUCGGGCCCUUUAACGAUGACGCUCACGUGAGGUUGGGGUCAAGGAGAAGUGUGGCCAGCCCUGAGAGAAAGGCACUUCAGCCACGCCCGCCGAGGGAGCCGCACACUCAUGGCCUCCACACCGCAGAUCUGUGAGCAAACUGGGACGAUGUAUCCCCAGGCCCAGCCUGGGGAGGAGCCCUGCUGGGAGGAGCCCUGGUCUGUUGGGAAGCUGCCCCGGAGCAUCCGUGGAGGGCGUCUGCUGGGGUCCUGACGUCUGCGAGAGCGAGGACGUGCCCGGUUUUGAUCUUGCGUUGGAAGAGGGAGGGCGUGGUGAACCCCGUGUGCAGCGUGGUCAGCGCUCGGGGCCUGGUGUGGUGUCCGGCAAUGGCGGGGGUGCGGGUGCCAGCAGAGGACGUGCGGGAGCCUCUCUGGGGGUGCGGCACGGGAGCUAUUACUGGAUGGGGCUGUAGGGAGAGAGUUCCAGAAACGCAGGUGGGGCCGGGCCUGGUGCACUAGGACGGGGUGGGGACCAUGCGUGGUGGGCGCAGAGGGGGGCCCACAGGUCCCGUCCCCGAGCUCGGGCUCGAGGAGAAGCCCGCGCGGACGGGGACGAGCCCCCGCGCCUCCCGGCACUCCCUUCCCACGUGGACACGUCCAGGGUGGAAGCCAAGCCGCUCUCCCGAAGUCCCUUGCAGCUGCCCUGCCCCCACGUGACCCGCGUCCGCCAACCAGAAGCCUCCCGUGAGCCUCCGCGCGGGAAGAGAGCCGGGGAGGAAGAUGGCGCCGGGGUCUAUGAGGCCGAGUAGCCUGAGGGGACGGUGUCCCCGGCGGGCGGGGGCCGAACGGCUGCCUGGCGUCCGUGGAGGAGCCCGUGCACGCGGCCCCUGAGUCUCUGCCCACGACGGGCCGGGAGCGUCCCGACGUCCCCAGCGGCCGCCCAGGGCCACCUCCCAGGCGCGAGUUGAAAUGCGCAGGCUCAGACCCGCCCGCACCGCCUGCGUCCCAGGCCACGUGUCUCCCAGGCGCAGGGGCCGCGUGUGCGCCUUGACCUCGGGGAGCACCUGCCCUGCGCCGUGCCCGGUCCCGCUGUCGGCGCUCCUGUCGCUACAGCGGGGCGGCCCCAGGCCUCUUUGGGCCGCAGGACAAGCCCGGGGUCCGACGGCGGUGGGGAACUCGGACACCGCGUGAUCGGAGCCUGGAAAGAAAACCCCAGCCGGAUGCGGCCCGCCGAGCAGGAAACCCUGAAGUCUCCGACGGGAAACCACCGUCAGCGCUGACACACUCAGGAAGGCGGCAGGACACAAAUCAACAGGCAGACGUCACUCGCGUUUCGGAUUAAGGAAACGAUUCCUUUUAAAAUGGCGUCAAAAAGAGUAAGACAUUUAGAAACAAGUUAGGCCAACGAGACAGGAGACUUGUUCACGGGAACUACACCGUGUUACUGAACGACCACGGAAGGCGUUAAUACGCGGACAGAUGUCCCGCGUUCACGGCCGGGUGACGGGACGCCGCUAGGACGACAGUGUUCCCAAAAUGCUGGUUCCUCCGCAGGUUCACUGCCAUCACCCCCGAAGCCCUGGACACUUUUUUUGUAGAUACAGAAAAAUACAUUCCCAAUUUCAUGCGGCGUUUCAAGGGACCCGGAGUACCCGAAAUAAUUUUGACAAGGAGAAAGUUGGAGGACUCACGCUUCUUGAUUUCAAAAUUCACUGCAAAAUUACAGCAAUAGAAACAGUGUUGUUCUGGCAUAAAACACAAGUAGAGACGAGCGGAUUGGAGGAGAAAACCCAGAAAGAAGGCCGCAUACACUUGGUCAACUGAUUUCCAGCAAGAGUGCCAAAAACGGGGGAAAAGACAGGUUUUUCUUUAACAAAUGGUGUUGGGCAAACCGGACAUCCACACGUGCGCGGGAGAAAGAGGCUGGACCCUUACGUGACACCAUAUGCCCAAAUCAGCAGAAAUGGGGUCAAAUACCCAAGCGUAAGAGGUAAGACCGUAAGACUCUUAGAAGAACACACGGGAGAGAAGAUUCAGGACGUUGCAUUUGUGGUGAUUUAUUGGCUCUAACACCCAAAGCACAGGCAACUAGAAAAGCAGAUAAAUUGGACUUUUACAAAAGGAAGCACUUUGGGGCAUCAGAGGGCCCCAUCAGGGGAGUUAAAGACAGCCCACAGAAUGGGAGAAAUGUCUCCCUCACCUGAUGAGGGGCUGACACCCAGGAUCUGUAAAAACUGCUCAGCGACAAAGGAACCAUCCCAUUAAAAAAUGGGCCAAGUCUGUCUCCAGAGACGACGCACAGAUGGCCGGUCAGCGCCCGACUGGAACUCCCCUCGCUCCUCACCAGGGGACACAGGACAAUCGCGAGGUCCCGCAGCCAUCAGAAGCGCAGCACAGCGAGCGUCGGCCAGGACGUGACGCCCAGGUUGUGACGCCGAUGGCCGAGCGUGUUGCGGUGGGCGUGGGAGACAAGCAUCCCCCACGGAAACACAGGGGAGUCUCGGAAAGACCCAUGUGGCCCAGCGAUCCCACUCCUAGGGGUUUACGAGGUACUCGUGGUUCGUGAGCACGGCGGCCGCGAGGGACAAGUGACCCCCGUGUGGCCUCCCCAGCAUCGGCCCGCCCGGGGGAGACCACGGCCACCUGCGCCUGCUCGUGCGGUCAGCUCUGCGGCGGGGUCCCUUCCCCGACCCCGUCUCUCCCUGGGGGGCCGGCCUCCCGCCCCUGGCGAGCGGCCCAGCCCCAGGUCUUGAGAUCUGGCGCUUUGCAAAACUACGUUUCUCUGCAGACCAGAGGCGUUCCGCUCAAGCAGCAGACUCUCGUAAUGGCUCAUCUUGGGAUCUGAGCAGAUAAUGCUUCACGGGAGCCUGUGCAGGGGAAGUUAAGGCAAAAAGUUACUGCAUUUCUGGGCUCCUCUUGCCAAAGGCACGAGGCCCUGCUUCUUAUUGGUUUCCCGCGGGCAGGUUUAUUAUUGCGCUUCCUCUUUACUGCUGGUCUCAGUGGAACCAGGGCAGUUUGAGGGGAGAGUCAGAUUCCCCACCUCCGUGCCGUGUCGUCCUUCCACAUCGCGCAGCAAUGCGGAGCCUCGGGUGGCAGAGGGCCGUCGGGACACAGGACGGGGCAGCCAGGCGGGGCGGUGGGGACCAGAGCUUGCGCCCCCCCUACCGCCACCCCCUCACCCCCCCCCGAGGGGACCCUGGUGGUUGCCCGGUGGACGGAGUCCAGCGUUGACGAGCCCGCGACCGUUCCAGAGCGUCCAGGUGUGGCACCCUCAGGUGAGAGCUCGGGUGUGUCCAGGUGGCUCUCGUGCAGCACACCCUCUGUCGCCCCGGAUCCACUGUCCCCCGUGUUCACCCCACUCCCUCCCCGCGCCUUGACCUGCGGGCCGUGUGGCCGGGGCUCCCACAUCCUGCCUUGUGGUCAAGCCCCACCCGCGGGGGCCCCCAGAGCUGCGGGUGGGGAGAGAGGCUGGGCCAUCCCUGCUGGCUGUGCCAGGGGCAGGAACUCUGGUCAACAGCCCAGGGCCACCGAGCCUGUGAGCCCUGCCAUCUCUCCAGACCUUGCAGCGCUGUCCCUUCCCUGCCUCUCAGGCCCAGGGGAACAGCUCCCGGGGGCUCCUCUCUGGUUUCCUAACUUCUCUGCUGGAUCCUCUGAAAGGAGCCCCUUCUGUCACAUGUCUUGUGUCUUCCUCUGAACCUCCGGGUGCUGUAUUUCCUGCUGGGACAGGGACAGACAGCGCCUGGAUUAAACAAAACAAAGAGAUGCCUCAUGAAUCCCUCCCCCGUCUGACAAAGAAAUCAACCUCCCCCUCCAGUAAAGGGAACCAUCUGUGCGUCUGUGUCUGGACUUUGCCCCUGAACUAGCAUUCGGGACCGGAUCACAAGGUCAGACAGUGCCCGCCUCCCACGCCAUUGUGGCCACGAUGUGGCCCUUGUACGGGCCUUUCCUGCAGGCUGGCCGAGGUCAGCUGAGGCCGGCAGGGCACAGAAGGGGAGGACGGGGCGUCUGGCCCAGGAAUUCCUGAGAGGCGCAUCCUGGGGCCGAGUGGGAGGUACGUGAGCCAUCGGGUGGUCCCCGAAGAGAAUGGAGGCUCCUCCAGAGGCUACAAGAGGCUCUAUGUGGCCACCUGUUCCACUAACUUGGGGCUUCCAGCUGGGCCACAGCCUGGGAGCUGGACACGGCAGCCGUGUGUGCGUGGCCGGGACCUGCUGCCACGCCAGCUGCCACUUGCGGCCUCCUGAGCAAAUGUGGCCCUCCCAGCACAAGAAGCCCUGGGCAGCUCCUGGCUCUGUGGGGCCCUGUGAGCCCCUGGGGGGGGCACCUCCUGAGCUUGUCCUCCCAGGGUGGCCCCGGGGACUCUGAGCCAGGCAGGGCCCGCUGUACAGGCAGGGGGGCUUCAACCCCCCACCUAGAACCCACGCAUGGCUUUGCUGCGUGUCACAGGCACAGACUCCCCUCGCUGGAAAACAUAAAUGACACGAAAGUGCAUGGAGGAAAGUGGGGGGCCUGUGUCCUCAGACCCCACCCAUGGGUGGGCUGCCGAUUCUUUUCCAGUAUUUUGAAUCUUUCGCCUAUAAAUGUCACACGUGUCUAGGGCACAAAAGUGGGCCACGAUACACAGAAAGUUCUUAGUUUAACUUAACUCUGUUCCACGAGCAGCGUCCCGGUGAAUAUAGGUCCACACCCUGUUUUAAAAAGCAUUAGAGUAUUUCAUCGUGUGCACACCCCCAGGGGUGAAGUCACCACUGCUGUCUUGUUGGCGUCUGAGAUGUCGUCAGCGGGCUUCCCUCCUGGGCGCCACCUGGGCGCGACCUCGCGGGGAAGAUACCUGCAGCUGGAAGGACACCCGGAGCAGCUGCGAUGUUGUCAGCAAACCGCGUGUGUCCUGUCAUCGCACUCCUGGACGCGUCACUGUGCCUCCUAACAGAAGCUGUCUGCCCCAGCACGCUUUGUCACAGUUCAUUAACAGAAUUCCUCACUCGAAUGCAAUGCUAGCCCACGUGCAGAUCCCGUCCUAAACUGUAAUUUAAUAGUGGGUUCAUUUGAACCGAGGUCCAGACAGACUCUAUGUGUCGUGUAUGAACACCGCGUCCCCCGAGUCCCUCCAGAUCUGGUCGCGGUCCCUCCCUCUCCCACAUCAUGGGUUUCCACCCCCCAGGUCGACUAGCGGAUGAAAUCAUGCAGGGGUCGGGGGUCUCUGUUCCAGCGCCCCGUGUUCUCAUUUUAGGCUCCCACACUCCUGCAGCUUGAAGUGAACUCUAACAGCCGCGUCGACUCAGGUUGGUUUGUCUCUGUGACUACUUCACAGGCGAAGGUGGCGUCGGUCGUGUCGGGAAGCGCGUCCCGGCUGUCCACCUCACUUCCUAGGAUGCUGAGGCCGCUCGGUGAUUCAGGUGGUACCAGUCUGCCCCCAGUGGGCUUUAUACCCAGCGUGGAUCCCAGAGCGGGACUUGAAGUCAUGACCCUGAGAUCAAGACCUGAGCUAAGGUCAAGAGUCAGGUGCCUAACCGACCGAGCCACCCAGGGUUCCCAGAUUUGCACACUCUGGACAUUUCAUAUGAAGGUAAUCGUACGGGAUGUCUCUCUAAUUCCAUGGGUCCGUCUACACUGGCCUUGCAGAUCUCCCUCGUUCCCAGGAGUUGCUAUACUGAACUGGUAUGUUGCUGUAAUGCCCCAAAGGUUUCUUUCCUGAUUUGGACUGCCUUACUAAUUCCCCACUUUGUCUAAACUAACCAGUGAUACCCCCUAAUUCCCUAGAGGUGUCUGCUCUGAACAGGUUGCGCUCCGUAAUACGCAGGCAUGUCUCCCCUCGCCUAGGCUGUCACCCCAUCCUCCCGUGUGGAUCCACCUGUACUCGGGAUGGCUCCCUAAUUAGUCCCUGAUCAGUCCACCCUGCUGUGAUGUGUCUCUAUUGCUCCGAUAUGGGUUGUCUAAUCCCCAGGUGUGUCUGUGCUCACUGGGGAUGUUGGGGAUGUUUCAGUAACUCCCUGUAUGUGUACACUCUUCCCGAAUGUUUUCCUAGCUCUCUGGUUUGCCUAUCCUGACCUGCUAUGGCCGCCUAAUUCCCCAGUGUGUCUACUUUGACCUGAUGUCUUCCUAGUUCUCUAGGUGUGUGUCCCUGACCUUGGAAGCCCCCAUAAUAUUCCAGGUGUCUACACUGACCUGAGUUGUUUCCUUAAUUAGCAAACGUGUCUACUGUGGCAUGGGUUUUCUCCCUAAUUCCCCAUUUUUACACACUGACCCGGGACAUGUUUCUAGCUGUCGAGAUGUGUCUCCACUGACCAGGGACGCGUUCCUAAUACCCCAGCUUUGUAUACUGUGUUCUGGGAUCUUUCUCAUAUUACUCAGUUUUGUCCCCCUUGAGUUGGGACAGCUCAUUAAGACCCCCGUUCUGGCUACUCUGUCCCUACUUCCAGUGGAUGUCUGACCUGACCUGGUGUGUAACCGACAUCUCCAGGUGUGCCGUGACCCCUCACGGCUCUCUUACCUUUAUUAUGUGCACACUGCUUUCUGAUUUCUUUCUCAUUACCUAGUUGUGCUAUCCUGACCCGGGACAUAUCCUCAUUUCCUCAGAUUUGUCUACCCUAACUGGAGAUACCUCCGUAAUUCCUGAGUUGUGUCGGCACUGACCUUGGAAAUCUAGUUCCAUAACUGUGUCAACACUGGCCAGGAAUGUCUCCCUGAUUUCCCAGGUGUGUUUACUGUGACCAGGAUGUCUCUCAAAUUCCACAGGUGUUUCUACACUCCCCUAGAAGGCUUCCGUGGUUCCGCACUGGUGCACACAUUGUAUGUGACGUCCCUAGAACUACAGGUGUGUCCUCUCUGCCUCCCUGAUUCUGUAGGUGUGUCUACUCCAAUCUGGAAUGUCUCUUACUCCAGCGUGUAUCUGCCUUAAAGCUGGAUGUCUCCCCAAUUCACGGUGUCCACACUGACCAGGGAUGUCUCCCUCAUUGCCCAGCUGUGUCAACUCUGAGGAUGUCUCCCUCAUUUCUUAGGUGGGUCCACAAUAGCCUGAGAUGUCUCCCUAAUUCCUCCUGCGUGUAAACAGGUCUUGGGAUGUUCUGUUAAAUCCCAAGGUGUGUGUCCUGACUUGGGAUGCCCAAUUCCAUAGAUGUGUCAACAAGGACUCGGGAUAUCUCCUUAAUUCUCCUGUGUGUCUACUCUGACAAGGGUUAUUUACCUAAUUCUUCGGUUUUGUCUGCAAUGAACUAGAUGCCUUCCUAACUGCCUGUGUGUUUACACUGACCUGUGACACAUCUCGAAUUUCACAGGAUUGUAUACCCUGGCUUUGGAUGCCUCUGUGACUACUCAGGUAAGUCUACUCAGACCCGAGAGGCCAGUCUAAUAACCCAGGUGUGUCUCCACUGAUCUGGGAUGUUGGUGUAAAUCCCAAAUUGUGUCUACCGUGACCUGGGAUGUCUCCCUAGUUCCCAGGGUGUGAGUUCUAACCAGUGGUGUUUCCCUAAUUUCUCAUGUGUGUAUCCGUGACCCGGGAUGUCUCCAUAAUUCUCCUUAUGUGUCUACCAUGAUGGGAGAUGUCAAGCUGUUCCUUAACUUUGUCUUUGACCUCAGAUAGCUCCCUAAUUUUGCCCAGGUGUGCCUACCCAAACACGGAUGUCUACCUGAUUACCCAGACGUGUCAACUCUUACCAUGGAUAAUUGCAUAAUUCUCCAGUUGUAUCUACACUGACCUAGGCUGUUUCUCUCUUUCCCCACGUGUGUCCACACAGUUUGGUUGUCUGCUCAAUUCCCUGGGCCUGUCCACACUGAUGAAGGGUGUCUCUCUAAUUCCUCAGGUUUGAUCACUCUGAAUUGGCUCGUAUCCCUUCUUUCCCGUGUGUUUACCCUGCCCAGUGAUGUCUCCCAAAUUUGCACACGUGUCUACUGUGAUGUGGAAUGUCUCCCUAAUUCCCCAGGUUUGUGUGCACUGACCUGACCUGGGAAGUCUCCCUAAUUCCACAAAUGUGCCUACACUGACCUGCAAUACAUCUCUAGUUAUUCAGGAGUUUACCUUAUCAUAGGAUGUCUGCCUAAUUUCACAGGAAUUUCUAUACAGAAUGAGAAUGACUCCCUAGAACCCCAGGUGUGUCUGCUAUUACCUGGGGUGUUUCUCUUAAUUCCUCAGUUGUGCUUACACUGACUUGGGAGAUUUCCCAAAUCCCCCAGGAGUGUCUACACUGACCUGCAAUGUUUCCCUAAUCCCCCAGGUUAAUCUGCUCUUAUCAAGGAUGUCUAAUUCCUUCAUUUCCACUUUGAUCUUGGACGUCUCCCUAAUUCCCUAGUAUUUCCUACCUGACCUGGGAUGUCUCCCUAAUUCCCUGUUUGUGUCUACUUUAAUGUUAGCUGUCACUCUAAAUUUCCGGGUAUUUCUAAUUACCUGGGUAUCUCCCUCAUUUCCCAGGUGUGUCUGGGAUAGCUUCUCAUUGUCCAAGGGGUGUUUGUAUUGACCUUUGAUAUCAUCUUCAUUCCCCAGGUGUGUCUACACUGAACUAGUAAGUCUACAGUUCCCUCAGGUAUUUCUGUUUUACCUGAAAAGUCUCUCUAAAUCCUUUGGAAUAUCUAUACUGACCAGAAAUGUUUCCUUAAUUCCCAAGUUGUGACUACACUGAACUUGGAUGACUUCUAAAUUCUCCAAGAAUAUCUAUAUUGACCUAAGAUGUCCCUUGAUAUCUGCCUAAGAUCUCAGGUUGCCUACCCUGACCAGCUAUGUCUCCAUGAUGAACCCCAUGUGUCUGUUCUGACCUGGAAUCUAGUUCCCGGUUUGGUUUCCUCGGACUUGGGAAUCUUCCUCGUUCCCCAGGUAUGUUGACUCUGACCUUGUAUGUCUCCCCAAAUUACUAGGUGCAUCUUCCCUGACCUGGCAUGACUUUCUAAUUGCCAGUUUUCUACACUGACACGAGAUGUCUCUUUUCCCUAAAAUGUGUUUACUCUGACCCAGAAUGUUGGAGCUGGUCACCAAGAGGAUGUGACCACCAGCUGAUGCAUGAGCUACACCAGGCAACUGGAGACUCGUCACCCUCCCCACCCCCACUCAUUAGCAUGUACCUUCUGCUCGCCUUCUCUGCUUUGUUCUCAGAAGCUGCCCCAAGGACAUAGCCUUCGAUUGUGAUGUGGUGUUGAGACCAUCUAGAUGGUAAUAUGUGACUGAACCCAGUUAAGGUCUCUAUUUAAACUUUCAGGGUUUGGCGAGUGGGUGAAGAGAUCUACCCGUCAGCAUCUACCCAAGACAAGUCUUGAAUGUAAGUUCUCUUGCUUAUUAAACCCGCCACCUACCAACCUGGAAUGAUCUGCCUCUUUCUUGGUCUCUCUCUGCCCUCCAGGUAGGAAUGCUGGUCUCAGAUUUCACCUGGGAAGCUCCCAAGGUUGCAACCCUGACUCUCCAGGCAUGUUUACACUGACUUCAGAUGAUUCACUGAUUUCUCAGAUGUGUCUACCCUGAUCUCUAAUAUCCCAAGUAUGUCCAUCCUGGCCUGGAAGGUCUACUUUUCAAGAGCGUCUACUCUGACCUGGCUAUCCUGCUAGCUCCCCAGAAGAGGAAGGCCUAGGUCAGCCAGUCAGCUCUCACCUGCUCCGCACAAGGUACCCGACCUGCUCCGAGACUUCCCUGGGGCCCAGAUAACAAGAGUAACCAUGCUUACCCAUCAGCAGAUGCCCAGCGAAUCUGCCCGUUCCUGCUCACGUGCCGCGGGGAAGUUCCUCUUGGAUCUGAGUUCUACUCUGUUUGCGUUUGAGCUCCCGGGUCUGAUGGGCUUUUCCUGGCCAGGAUUUAGUGGGCCAGCUGGAGCUGGCAGGUGGUUCUACAUGGACCCGAAGCCCCUAAGCCCUGCGUUAUCCACAGUCUUGACGUGUUGGGUUCUGCUGGUGGGCCCACCAUUCCACUUGGGGAACUACUGGCGGUCUUGGUGUGACCCUAAGGUAAGAGCGACAGAUCUGCCAGACAGACACCGAGGAGACAUGAGACCUAAAGUUCUAGAGAGCUGAGAGCUCCAUAUUCUUGUGCCCCAGCUCUUUAUAUGGGAAGUGGGGUUCCGGAGCGCAUACACAGUGGCAGAAAUGGCAGCAUCUGAGGGCAGCUCUGAAUCACAGCGGCCAUGGUCGGAAACCUGUGACCUAGACCAGCUUGUCCAGUUACAAGUUCUCAGCCAAGAACGCACUAGAAAGGGCAGAGGGAAAAUUAAUUUUUCCUCAUCUACAGUCUCUGGUGACCCAGACGAGACCCACUGGGACACCGCACCCACUCCGGAGCCUACACGCAGGACCCUGAGGAAGCGGAGAGGCCGGCAAAGAGAGUGGGGUCAAGUUUCAUGUUGUCUCUUCCCUUUCAAAUCCAGACUGUUGUGAAUUUGGUUUGGGGAUCCCCUCUGGUCACUGACCCUCUCCCUCCCAGGGACAGUUCCUGCUUUCCUAUUUGUCUUGCUGUGUGUCCCGGGCCUCUGGCUUGGCUGCCUGCCUGGGGCUUGCAGGCUGUGCAUUCUUGUAAGUGAAGGUCAGGGGCCCCGAGAAUAUGGCUGGCCUGAGAUACGGGUUGCACCCCCUUUGUGGCUGCCAUCCUACUGACUGUUGCCAGCUCUCAGGGGAACUUUCUCGAUCUUGCCUAUCUUUGGGAGUAGUUCUGGAUCUUGGGAAGACUAAAUCUUUUGCACCCUCCUAGGACAUACAUCUCGAGUCCGUGGAUAUGUCAUAAAAGGCUUAUUAGUUUUGCUUGA